AUGGACCUUGCCUACAAUAACCUAACAGGCAACAUACCAAAAUGGAUUGGUAACUGCAAAGGGAUGAUACUAACGAGAGAUAAGGGUUAUGAAUAUUCUGCAAUUCAUUUUGCUUUAUUUUAUGAAGGAUUACUUAGUCUUGAUUUCACCUAUACCGAGAAUUCCGCGGUAGUCACAAAGGGUCAAGAGAGAUUAUAUACAGGGGAAGUCGUAUAUAUGGUGAACCUUGAUUUAUCCUGUAACAAUCUUAUUGGUGAUAUUCCCGAAGAAAUCAGCGCUCUUGUCAAACUGAAGAACCUGAACUUGUCAUGGAACACAUUCAAUGGAAAAAUUCCAGAGAAUAUUGGCGUCUUGACGCAAGUGGAGUCACUCGACCUAUCACACAAUGAGUUGUCUGGUGAAAUCCCUCCAAGCUUAUUGGCUCUCACAUCAUUGAGUCGGUUGAACCUGUCCUACAACAACCUGAAAGGAGAGGUGCCAUCAGGGAAUCAACUGCAAACGCUUGAGGACCCUGAAUAUAUUUAUAUUGGCAACCCGGGCCUCUGCGGUCCUUCUCUGCCACAGAAAUGUUCACAGCUGGAGCCAAUUCCAGCUACUCAAGAACACCAUGAAGAUUUGAACGACGUGGCAUCGUUUUUCAUCGCUAUGGGUUCUGGACAUGUAAUGGGCGUCUGGGUAGUCUUCUGCACCUUCUUGUUCAAGAGGAAAUGGAGAGUUAAGUGGUACUCCGUCUGCGACAAGUUUUAUGACUGGGUCUAUGUGCUGGUGGUCGUUACCUGGGCUUCCUGGACAAGAGAAACAAUUGCAGAAGCUGAGAGUGGCAACUAG
rnacentral:rRNA from 1 species